GUCCUUUACAAACAUUGAUUAAUUAACUCUCACAACAACCCUGUGAGGCAGGUGUUACUCCCAUUUUGCAAAUGGCACAACUGAGCAAGAGAGGUUAAAUGGCUUGCCCAUGAUUACACAGCAGAGAUGAUAGAGCUGGCAAAAGAACCAAGAUCUUCCAAUUCCCUGCCACAGAAGAGCAUCUUUCUUCUAUACUUCCCUCAUUCUCCUCACCCUCCGACUGACCAGAGCUCCUGAAACACUGUCCAAGGGGGUCCUCAGCUGCUCCUCCAUCAUGAAUUUUAUCUUCCAUCCCAAAACAGGCCCUCUGACCCCUCAAACUCUCCAUUGAUAGGACAGAGACACAGUACAACCUUGAGUACAAAUUUUAUACUACUAUUCUUUAAACUGGGAAUGGGGGAUUUGUGUGAGUUUUUGGAUGAUGUCAGCUCAUGCUGUGCUAGAUCAUGACACAAUAUCAUGUAUCAUAGCAUCACAUCACCCCCAACAAAUAUGCUUGGUGAUGUCAACUGAAUAAAAGCUUGAAGAAAAUUUGAAAAGUGCUUCUGCUUUCAUAGUUUAUCUUUAAUGCAGGAAAAUGUAAGUCAAUAGAGAAGCCUGAUCAGGCAGGAGAGACAAGAGCUUGGGAGAAGAAUCACAAGCCUCGCAGCUGAAGCAGGAGUUUGGCAAAUACAGACAUUACUUAGCCAACAGAGGACACUGGUUCAAUAGCAGAAAUCCCUCAAGGCCCUGCUAAUUGUUGGCAGUGUUGGAGGAAAUUCAGGACUCAUUUUUAGACUCUGCACCAUGCUAGUCUAACCCACUAAUGACUCAGAAUGAGCAGAGAGAGAAAAAACCUGUUCACAGCCUGUUCCUAUUACACAGACCUUAUGAAGAAAAGGAAAAAGAAAAGGCAGCAUUUUCAUUGCCCAAAAAUGUCCUACCAAUCUGCCAGGUGGUAAGGAGCACUGCAGACGUCAACUCCCACAGGGAGUUCUGUUUGAAAACCAAUGGCACAAUAUGAUUCAGACACUGCAGGCAGGCACUAUGCAAAGUUCUGCACACAGCUUUUUGGCAAUAGUCCUAUGGUACAUCCUGACCUGCAACACGCCUGCUCGUCUAGUCCUUGGCAUCUAUGAAGAGCAGCAGCUGCCAACCCUGCCAAAUUGUGUACAUGUAUAAUUAUGGUCAGAUUGUACUUUUCCUUGUUAGAUAGGAAAACAAAUAAAAUUAACAUAAAUGGAGGGUAAAACAAUGGCUUUUUCUUCAUAGAAUAUGUCCACAAAGAAAACACUUCAAAUUGGAGACCACUUUUCUCCAUAAUGUAGCUUGGGAGAACCACAAACCAACAGAAACCUCAGACAUUUGUGUGUGGGUUUUGGCCUCCCAGCUACUCCCAGUUCUGGAGUAACAAGUGAAUCACCAUCUCAUAGCCUUAGCUAGAGUCUCAGUUCUGCUGUGCCUUCUGAACCGGCUGGCUUAGGGAAGCACUUAGGGUUCAGUAAUUUCAAAGCCUGAUGAGCCAGCUUUGCUUUUCUAUGGUGGCAG